AAUGGAGGCAACUCUGAUCCAGCCAUGCCGCGUGCAGGAAGACUGCCUAUGGGUUGUAAACUGCUUUUAUACAGGAAGAACACUCCCUCGUGAGGGAGCUUGACGGUACUGUACGAAUAAGGAUCGGCUAACUCCGUGCCAGCAGCCGCGGUAAUACGGAGGAUCCAAGCGUUAUCCGGAAUCAUUGGGUUUAAAGGGUCCGUAGGUGGUUUGCUAAGUCAGAGGUGAAAUCCUGCCGCUUAACGGUAGAACUGCCUUUGAUACUGGCAAACUUGAGUUAUUGUGAAGUAGUUAGAAUGUGUAGUGUAGCGGUGAAAUGCAUAGAUAUUACACAGAAUACCGAUUGCGAAGGCAGAUUACUAACAAUAUACUGACACUGAGGGACGAAAGCGUGGGUAGCGAACAGGAUU
rnacentral:rRNA from 1 species